CCUACGGUAGGCAGCAGUGAGGAAUAUUGGUCAAUGGACGAGAGUCUGAACCAGCCAAGUAGCGUGAAGGAUGACUGCCCUAUGGGUUGUAAACUUCUUUUAUAUGGGAAUAAAAUGUUCCACGUGUGGGAUUUUGUAUGUACCAUAUGAAUAAGGAUCGGCUAACUCCGUGCCAGCAGCCGCGGUAAUACGGAGGAUCCGAGCGUUAUCCGGAUUUAUUGGGUUUAAAGGGAGCGUAGGUGGAUUGUUAAGUCAGUUGUGAAAGUUUGCGGCUCAACCGUAAAAUUGCAGUUGAAACUGUCGGACUAGAGACGGCGAGAAGUACGCGGAAUGCGCGGUGUAGCGGUGAAAUGCAUAGAUAUCGCGCAGAACUCCGAUUGCGAAGGCAGCGUACCGGCGCCGGACUGACGCUGAGGCACGAAAGCGUGGGUAUCGAACAGGAUUAGAUACCCUAGUAGUC
rnacentral:rRNA from 1 species